rfam:Stegodyphus mimosarum contig109114, whole genome shotgun sequence.
GCCUUCGUGGUGUAACGGUUAGCACACUGAGCCGGUAUUUCAGAGGUCCGUGGUUCGAUCCCCGGCGAAGGUG